AUUAUAAAGUUUUGAAAAUAAAGAAAAUUAACAACCCUAACAAUUAAGAGAGUGUUUGGUAUGACACGAAAAUCUUUUUCAAGACAAUAUUUCUCGGAAAAUAAGUGAUUUUUCUAGUAACUUUUUUGUGUUUGGUGCGCAAGUUGUAAAUGUCAUUUUAAGACCAUUUGCAUAUGUUGAGAAUAAUAAAGAAGGAGUCACUUAAGUAUAGAGGGCAAAACAGUCUUUGUAUAAGUUAGUUAAUGAGUCAUGUAAUUAGUUAUUAGCUUCACAUAAUUUGUUAAUUAGUUAGGAUAUUAUCUCUCCUCUUACUCAGUUGUAUAUAAGGGUAUAUCGCCCUCAUUUGUAAACUAACCGAUGAUAUACAAUCACCGAUGAUAUACAAUCUUUCUUUCUUCUUCUUCAAUAACUCUUUCGUUCUUCUUCAUUCUGAUAUGGAGUUUAUUCUUCUUUAAACUGUUUACUUCAUGGUAGCAGAGCAAUUUGAACUAGCAAUCCUGUUCAAAUCGCGAUUCUAAGUCUUCCGCUCAAGUUGUUAAUUGAUUAACAUCGGUUCAUAUUGUUCUUGGAAAAAUUUUGAAUUCUUGAAUUGUUGCCUACUAACUCACCUGCAAAAUGACGGGAAACCUAAACAAUGAAUUGAAAGCCAGUUCUGGGAAUCAAGAAACUGCAGAAUAUGCAUCUGGUUCUUCAAAGAACAAUGGAAAUCGAUUAUAAUCAUAUGUUGUUCCUCUCCCUUGCUGAUGUUAGCAGCAUUCAGAUCAUCUCAUUCCAAUUAACAGGUAUCGAAAACUAUGCAAUUUAGCACAAUUCCAUGAAAUUGCAUUGCUAGGUCGUAAUAAAUUGGGAAUUGUAGAUGUUCUGGGGCAAAAGAUAAGUUUCCUGCUUCUUUAUGGGAUAGAUGGGAGAGGGUAAAUGGAAUUGUAUUGUCAUGGGUUAUGAACGUAGUGUCAAGUAGUAUUCUUGGUGGUAUUAUGUAUGCAACGUGUGCACAAGUAGUGUGGAAUGAACUUCUUGAAAGGUUUACAAAGAUAGAUGGUUCUAAGUCAUAUAACUUGCACAAAGAAAUUGCUAUUUGUAGUCAAGGAACUGCAUCUGUGUCUACCUACUUUUCAAAAAUGAAGACUAUGUGGGAAGAAUUUGAAGCCAUUAUUCCUGCUCCUACUUGUGAUUUUCCAAAGUCCAAAGAUUGUGUUGCAUUUGCAGAAGUUGAAACUGCUUCAAUUUCUGAUGGGGUUGAAUGAGUCUUACAUGCAAGCUAGGAGUCAAAUCUUGCUAAUGAGCCCUUUACCCUCUAUUAACCAAGCAUAUUCCAUGAUUGUGAGUGAUGAGAGCCAAAAAUCAGUGGUUACUAAUCCAGGAAUUUUAGGUGCUAAUCCAGCUAUUGGACAAGGUUCUUAUGAAGGGGCUAUGUACACAAGAACUGGUGUUCAAGGAUUAGUGGAUACUGCUUGUAUUCAAGAAAUUGGGGUAACCGAAGUUUAAGAAAACUACAAUUUACAAUGUGAGUUCUGUAAAUUGAAAGGUCACACCAAGGAAAUAUGUUACAAGCUUGUAGGAUACCCAUCAGACUUUAAGUUCAAUAAGAAAAUGGGCCAGAGCAAUGGCUACAAUGGAAAUAAUGGUGGAAACAAUCCUGGAUAUAAUGGCAAUAACAGCACUACUUACGAUGUUUGGUCUGACAAUUCGACUCAUGGAAGUCACCUACAGCAUGGGUAAACUCAAGGUGUGGAUAAUCAAGCAUAUGCACAAGGCUCAGGACAUGUAGCAAGACCAAGCUUGAAUCAACUUAUUCACAAUCAAAAGGCUCAAUUAGAUGCUUGCAACACCCUUACUAAGGAUCAAUAUCAACAUGUACUGCAACUGUUGAACAAGAGUACAAAAUCUGCACAGUUGGCUAACACUGCAGGAUCUCUACACUGGAAGGUGAAGGGGAUUGGUAGACAAGAAGGAGGAUUAUACAUACUGCCAAGUCAUCAAGAUAGUAUUGAUUGUUCUUUGAUAGCAAAAAGCUUUAAUUAUGCAUCUGUUUCUAUUUCUAAGUCUGAUAUAGCUUUUGGCAUAUAAGAUAUGGACAUGUGUCCUCUACUGUUCUAAAGAAAAUACUGCAAGUAAGCAAUUAGGCUAUAAAUGAUAGUUUGAACAAAUGGACCAUUUGUCCAUGUGCAAAGCAAAUAAGACUGAGUUGUCCUAUUAGCAAUACGAAGAGUUCUUCUAUAUUUGAAUUAGUCCAUAUGGAUAUUUGGGGGCCUUACAAAGUGCCUACACAUGAUGGUUAUAAAUAUUUUUUAAUUGUA